GUUCAAACAAAAAGAAGAUAUAAAAGACCCAACUUUUGAAUUGGGUAUGGAAUUUGCAAGCUUAAAGGUUUUCAAGGCAGUCAUUAGGAAGCAUUCAAUGUUGACAAAGAAGGAAAUCAGGUUCCCUACCAAUUUAAGACACAAGGUCUGUGCCAAGUGUGUAACAUCUCCAAAGUGUCCUUGGAGAAUAUAUGUAUCUACAACAGACAAGUCAAAUCCAACAAUCUACAUUAGAAGCAUUCAAACUGAGCACAAGUGUACCAGUAUUAAGGAGAAGGUGUUUCAGAUGCAUGCACCCCUCAUAGCAGAGGAGUAUGCUGAUUUUUUUAUGACUAAUCCAAAUUGGACUAGAGAAGGCAUGCAGAAUGCAAUCAACAAGGACUUUGGUAUGGAGGUGGACUACCAAAUGUGCUGUAGAGAAAAGGCCAAGGCAAUGAAGUGAGUGAUAAACAAAAAGCACUUGAGCAAGCAAUCAAAGAGUUGUUUCCAAAUGCAGCACAUAGGCAUUGUGUGAGAUACUUGCAUAACAACUUUAAAAAUGAUGGACACAGCGGUUUGGAGUUGAAGCAAAAGAUGUGGGUAGUUGCUAGGAGCUGUACGCUAAAUACAUUCACAGCAGCAAUGGGAGGACAUGAAGAAGAGUUCAGUCUCAGCAUGGCAAUGAUGCAUGGAUAGACUGCAAUCCACUUGUCAAAGUCACACUUUGAUCACAAAUUCAAAUAUGACUUGCUGUUCAAUAACCAUAGUGAGAGCUUCAACAAUAGUAUUCUCCAGGCAAGGAAGAAGCCAAUCUUGAGUUGUUUGGAAGAAGUUCGGACACUAACUAUGGUGAGGAUGGCAAAUAGGAGGGCAUCUGGGGGUAGAUGAAGUUGUAAAGUUGGGCCAAGAAUGGAAAAGACACUGAAGAAGGAAGUAGAGUGGAGCAGUGAAUACAGAGCUAUACAAUCAAGUCCUUGGAGGUUUGAGAUUCAAGGGAGGGGUGUAGCUUGCCAAAUUGGUGUGGUUGCAGCUCAUUUAGUACCUUUGGAUUUAAAGACCUGAACUUGCAUGAGGUGGGAUGUCUCUGGGAUACCAUAUAGCCAUGCAGUAGCUGCCAUAUUCUCACUAGGAAAGUCCCAUGAUGAUUUUGUUAAUGACUAUUUUACCAAGGAUGUUUAUAUGAAAGCAUAUGAGCCAGUCCUCUUUCUAAUUGCUGGAGUCAUUGAGUGGGAGAAGAUACAUAGGCCAAUUGCCCCUCCUUUGUAUAGGAGGCAGCCUGGGAGGCCUCAAAUGGCUUGAAACAAAGAACCAGGUGAGGUAGCACCACCUCCUGGCACAACCAAGUUACCUAAGUUGUAUUAUUCCUAGGUUACUUGCAUAAUAUGCAAGAAAAAGGGCCACAAUAGGAGGACCUGCAAAUCAAGGAAUCAGGAAGAAAAUAAUGUCCAGCAGGAGGAAUAGGUGAAUGUGCAAGAACAUGGUGCAGAGAAUGUGCAGCAUGAGGAAGCUGUGCAUGUGGAAGAAUCGGGUACAAUGAAUGUGACACACAAUGAAGCUCACAUUGCAUAACAGCAAGAGUCCCAACCUGCAUUUUUGCCCACUCAAUUUUUCCAGACCAGUACUACUCAAGAAGGCUCAUCCAUGCCCCAAUUUAAGCAUACGAGGUUCAAAUCACUAGCACAGUGAAAGCACAAGCCAAAGAAUGCCCCUCCAUCACCAGCUACUUCAGAUGAAUAGAGAAUAGUUAUGGGAUUAGAAUAGAUUUCUGUGGCUUUAUUUCAA